rnacentral:lncRNA from 1 species
CCUUCCACGACUCCAGCCACAGCACCAGCCACAGCUGUACCCUGACGAGUGGCUGUUCCAGUAGCACCAGUUACACCUCUUAGAGGACCAGUCCAGAUGACCGAGGCUGAGCAGGAACAGAUGACAGAGAGGCUCGCUCGUUUUCGCCGUUUCGAUCCGCCGACCUUUGAUGGCCGAUGUUCAGAGGAGUGGGUCGUCGAGGGCUGGGUUAGUGCGAUGGAGAAGCUGUUUGAGGAUUUAUAUGUUCCGGAGAGAGAGCAGGUAUCUUAUGGAAUUCACUAUUUGGCUGGCGAUGCUCACGCCUGGUGGAAGAGGGUGAGGCGACACUACGGAUUCGUAGCUUUGCAGAUGAGGUGGGACGAGUUCUGUGGAAUGCUGUAUGGGAUGUAUUUUUCCAACAGUGUGAAACAGAAGCUCGAGGAGGAUUUGAAGAGGAUCCAGCAGGGGGAUCGGUCGGUACAGGAGUAUAUUCGGGAGUUCACUCGACCCCUGAACUGGGUGCCUUUUGUGGCUAGAGACGAGGCACACAGGGUGUACCUCUUUGAGCAGGGUUUGAGACUCGAGAUUUUCAGGUUUGUGCAUGCGCAGAGGUUGACGACUUUAGAUGCGUCCAUGGACCAGGCACUGUGGAUUGAGUGAGGUGAUGCGUCUAUCCGAGAGAGGACUCAGGCAGCGGGGCAGAGUCAGGAGAGAAAGCGCCCAGCUCCAAACGAUGGUGGACAGUCGAGCAGCCGGCGUCCCCCGAGACCUCCACGAUCGCGUUCUUAGGGUCGUGGGUUCUCGGGACAUCAGCGUUCUGGGAGAUCUCGACAGCAAAGACAGUCACAGGGGUUACCACCGUGCGUGAUUUGUGGGGGACCACACUGGGCCCGGCAGUGUGAGCAGCGUGGGGGCCGGUGUUUUGGAUGUCAACAGCCUGGGCAUAUGAGGUCUGCUUGUCCCAGAGCUGUAUCGCCAGCCCCAUCGACCGCUUCAGCAUCACCAGCACCUUAGCAGUCUUUUGGAGCACCGCAGAGCUACCGCCAGGAGGACAGGGCAUCUGCGCCGCGUCAAGGUAAGCAACGACAGCAGGCUCCGAGUGGCAGGGUCUAUGCAGCCUAGGUGGAGGACUCUACAGCGGCCGAUCGAGUGGUGGCAAGUAUCACUUUGAUUUCUGGCAUUAGAGUUCGCACUUUCUUUGAUACCGGUGCAUCUCAUUCGUUUGUUAGCCGAGCAUUUGUUACGGAUUUUAUGUUGGUAUAUUUCGUGAAGUUAGUCUAAGUCUUGAAUGUUUGAAGAAGAAGAGAUGAAGAUCGAAGACUCGAAGACUCAAAACAUGAAUGCAUAAUGCUCGGUAAGUUUAAAUACCAUUGAUGAUGAUUUACAAAUGUUUAAAAGUGUUUGGAAGACUUAGGAUGGUUUUUAAAAUAUGAAUCUGGACAAACUGAGUUUUUUCAAUGUGCUGGGACAGG